AUUGAAAAAUAUAUGACAAUAAGUGUAUAGCAGUAUUUCGAAUGUCCAUGAAUGUAGCGCUGUAUUAGAUAUGAACUACAGCAUACCAAAGCCUACUUUUGUUGUUUUGAAA